GUUCCAAAGAGGAUUGUGAAGAGCUCGGAAAGACAAGGCACGGCUUCUCCAAGCAGCAAAGUCUCAGUCUGCACCGCCUUCGUGUUCUGUUGCUGAAGUACAUCUUUUUUAAGGUUUCGGCCUUGUGGCGCUUGCCUCGCCGUAUACGACUAACGCCAUAUUAUGGGCGACUUGCAUAGGACUCCCAGCGAGUUCCCAAUUUCUGAGUAACACAUAAACGGCAGAGGAAUCCUCGAAACUUGCUAAAUCAGGUUGUAGCUUUACAUCUAGGGUAUAACUCUGAGCGUGAACCGCGGAAGCAGACGCAGCCUACAGCUGCCUACGCGUGGCUAAGCUGGUGUUCAACGAUAGUAGUGCCUGCCCUUCCCACUGUUGUGCCGGGAAAGGGUGGUAUUUUUCAGCAGAACAAACUGUGGCGCCCAAUACCAAUUCUAGUCUUCAGACGAGAGGCUCAACUGUAGCCCUCUUCGGCUGUAGGACGAGGACGAUCUGGUCGGAACCGUCCCGGCGCAUUUACUACGUGUCUCC
rnacentral:lncRNA from 1 species